rnacentral:misc_RNA from 1 species
UACACAUCUUGCACUCCUUGGUAUUCCAAGGAGUAUGCCUGUUCGAGUGUCAUGAAACUCUCAAACCACAUCUUCAUUGAUGUCAGGCUUGGAUUUGGACAUUGCUGGAUGUGAGUUUGGCUCAUCUUGAACACAUUAGCUGACAAUUUCAACUUCAGUUAAACCAUGUGAUAAUACAUCAACACAGGCAGCCAUAAGGUGCUGGGUCGACUCUCAAAGGCUUCCAAUCAUCCUGUCUGGGACUGUCCUUAUGGGCAUUUCAUUUCACAUCUGGCCUUGAAUCAGGUAGGACUACCUGCUGAACUUAA